rnacentral:lncRNA from 1 species
CCCAACCACUUUCCUGGGGUUUGAAUCUAUCAGAUCUAUCCAGGAGAGCAGGUUCAGUUUAGAUUUUGGAGUCUGCCACUUCAUGGACUUUCUCUCGGAGUAAGCCUGGGCCCCUAAUAUCAGACUUCAGUAACUAAUCUUUGAAAUACAUGCAGUGACCUCCCCUGCGUGCAUAUUUGCCCCAAGUUGGGCUGGAUUAGGGCAGAUCCCAUCAUACACUGCCUCAUGGACUCAAAAAUCACUGUGUUUCCUCCAGUGGCUCAGUUCUGGGGCUCAGUGCUGGAUAUUGAUCCUCCCCUUAUGCUUUCGUGAUAACCUUAGUUCAUAAAACUCACUGAGUUUCUGUGUGACUAGCCUGAAUCUGUACAAUCCAGGCUCCCUGACUCCAAAUCUCAGAGAAAAGGCAGUGGGAUAUUGUUUUCAUCCCUUGCAGAGGGUCUCAAGUUUCCUUAAGCAAAAUUUCCCUCCCUAUGGCUGUACUAAAUAAGAGGAGAGGCUCACUUUGCUAAGAGGAUAAUGAAUUCCCAUGUACCAGAGCUGAGGGUAUAUUGGCCUCAUAGAUACAUAACUAAAGGGGCUGUUCAACUGACUUCGCAGAGCCAAAAAGACCCCACAAAAACACCAAAAAAACAUUCCAAGAUUAUCUUCUAUUUCCUCUUGUUCUGUGAGCAUAGGGCAGCCAAAAUAAUAGUGCUAGUCAUGAUAAAACUAAGCUAUGGCAGGGCACUCCCUUAUCCAGAUGAAACCAGCACCCCUCUGAAGUUGGAGUGGAAGGCUUGAGUUUACCUGUUUGGUCUCUUUCUUUUCUCAAUCCAGCCCACCGCCGGGUCAUAUCCAACAGAUGGCAAAUUUCUUUUUGAAAAUCUUGUAGAGUCAGUUUCAAACAUCUAAUGUAUUUCUCCCCCAAAAUACACUGCAUCAUAUUCAGCAAAUUUAUCCUUAAAUAAUCCCAGGGCCUCCUCUGUCACCAUUUUGUUCCCAGAGAACUCCCUCCUGGAACUUUCUUUCCUCUGCUCCGCUCGGGGCUGAUCACUCUCUAGGCUGCCCCACGGUGGCCCUGGGGACUUCACCUGGCUGGUCUCCUGGGUUAAAUUCAGGAUCCCAGGUGUAACAGGAUGUGAAGUGAGAUUUUUCCUCAUAUCCCAGAAUUACAGAUAGAGCACAGAUGUGAAGACCAGAGGCACUUAGUUCUCCAUAUUCUGAAGAGAGCUACCAGCGAAACCUCACACCUGCCUUCCAGGGCUUGAAGGAAGGCUGGGCAAGUGGAAUUUUGUCAGAGAGUUUAAUGGAAAAGAUUGGUAAGCCUGCUAGAAGGGGGAGAGGGGCAUCUUGUUUCUCACGUGGAUGCUUGAUGAGCUGCAGAACCUGUAGGUCUACCCUGGAACUGUGGUGAUGAAAAGUUUUGGGCGUCUGGCUUGUGUCCCCUGGAGAUUAGGGCAAACAUGAAUAUAGAGACUGGUGCCUAUUUCUAGUCUAGAAAUUUCUGAGAGAGUCCCUCUGCAUUAGGCCAGGCUUAUGGGGCUUGAAAAGACUCUGGCACAGUAUACCUAAAGGAAGAAGGAGACAAUUCCUUAUCAUAUCCGGUUGAAGAGGACACAGAAGUUGUUGAAGCUCCUCAGAAAGAAGCAUGGAAGAUGGAUGAAGAGCAGGAGCCCAGGACUUUUCUGGUGGCCGCUGAGCCAACCGAUGGAGUUCCCAACCAGGAGGAGCUGUUGUGAGCGGAAGACUGCCUUUAUCUGAGGUGGUUCUGUUCUGAGAAGCAUACCCUGUCUUCUCCCUGGGGACCAUUCAUUGUGGUGGCCAUGUGGUAAGCCAAUUUCAAUCUGCAGAUUAGCGCAGUUUGGUUUUGAAAAAUUUUCUUUUAUUAUUGUUUUGAAACUAUCCUUCAUCUACGUUUUCUCUCUCUCUCUUUCUAUUAAUCAGAUGUUGGGUCUUCUAACCCAAUCCUCUAAAUCUUUUAUUGUUUCUUCCAUGUAUUCCAUCUGAUUGCUUAUUUUUCAUCCUACUCAUUGGAACUUUCUUCCUUCUUUCAACUUUAUUUUCCACAAUUUCUAUUUAAAUGUUUGCUUUUGGCUCUCAUAUUUUUUAAUUUCAAGAAUUCUUUCUGGUCCCUUGCUUAUUCCUUAUUCAUAUCAAACAUUUUUUUUUAAGUGGAUGGAAUAUCUUCUCUUAUCUCUUUGAUUUUUUUUAAGUUUCCUGAAAUAUUUCUGUUUCUUCCAGAUUCCUUUUUUUCCUCAUGAGACAUUGAUAUGCAUGAGUGGGGCUUGUGAAUUAAUGGCCUCUACAUCAGAGUGUCUGGAUUCAAGGAGAGGCUAUUUAAACCUUCUUGGCCUCUGAUCUUCAUCUAUAAAUUGGGUAUGAUAAAAAUUACCUCCCUUACAGACUUGUUAUUAGGAUUAAAUGGAAUAAUAUAUUGGCACUUGUUGAGGCAGUCCAUAGAGAUCUGCCACUUGGGGAAUAGAGCAAAGUGGAGAAUGGAGCUGAAGGGGCAAGUGGAAAAUGUCCAGCCCAGUACUCAAUAAAUGUUCACUCAUUCAAUAGUUCAAUAAAUAUUUACUGAUUACCUAAUAUAUGCUAAGCCAUUAUUUUAGGCAAGGAGAUAUAUCUUAUGGAGUUUACAUUCUAGUGAGUGGCUCUUAAAUUCUAAUGGGUGAAUAUAGAAAAGUGAUAAUAAAUAUCAUAAAUAAGUCAAUUAUAUAACGAGUUAAGUAAUAAGUGAAUAAUAUAAAGGGCAUUGAGGGUGCCAAUGGAUAGUAAGGGUGGCUUGCAACUUAAAUGGGAAAGUUGGGUAGGCCUGUUGAGAAGGUGACAUUACAGCAAAGACUUGACAGAGGUACAACAGUGACCUAUGUUUACAUCUUGGGGAGGAGUGUACCAGGAAAUGGAAUUGGUCAGUACAAAGCCCUAAGGCAGGACCAUGCCAGAGGAGUUUGAGGAGCCAAUGUGUCUGGAGCAGAACAGGAGAGAAAGUCAGAGAGGGAACAAGAGGCUUGAUUGUGUAGAGUUUUGUAGACAAUUGGAAGGACUUAGCUUUUACUCUGAGUGAAACAGGGCACCACUGGGGGCUUUGGAACAGAGGAGUGACCUGAUCUGACUUGCAUUUUAACAUUGUCAUUGUGGCUACUUUGUUGACAGUAGUCCUAGGGGGGCAAAGGUAUAAGAGACUAGUUAGGGCCCUGUCACAAGAAUCCAGCUGAGAUGGUAACAGUGGAGGUGGUAAGAAGGGGUCAAGUUCUGGUUAUAUUUUGUAAGGAGAGCCAAUAAUGGAUUGGAUGUGAGAAAGAGAGAGGAGUCAAUCCUGACUUCAAAUUUUUAGACUGAGAAAUUGACACUAUGGAGUUGCCAUUAAAAGAGGUGAGGAAAAUUAUAGAUGGAGUAAGUUUGGAGAGGAAGAUCAGGAGUUUAGUUUUGGACAUAUGAAAUUUGAGAUAUUUAUUAGAAAUCUAAGUGGGGAUAUCAAAAGGCAGUUGGAUGUAGGAAUCUGGUGUUCAGUGAGGCAAUCUGAGGCACUAAUAUGAACUUGGGAGUCCUGAUAUUAUAAAUGGGAUUAAAACCCAUGAGACUGGGUGAUAGCCCCACUAUAAUGCAUAUAGAAAAGAGAAAAGGGGCCAACCCGGUGGCAUAGUGGUUAAGUUUGCGUGCUCCACUUCAGAGACCUGGGGUUCGUGGGUUCAGAUCCUGGACAUGGACCUACACUCUGCUCAUCAAGCCAUGCUGUGGCAGCAUCCCACAUGCAAAAAAUAGAGGAAGAUUGGCACAGAUGUUAGUUCGGGGGACAAUCUUCCUCAAGCAAAUAGAGGAAGAUUGGCAACAGAUGUUGGUUGAGGGUCACUGUUCCUUGCCAAAAAAAAAAAAGAGAGAGAAGAGUUUCAAAAUGUCAGCCCUGAGGCAUGCCAACAUUAAGGGGUUGGGGGAAAAAAACGAAAGAAAAGGAAACUGAGAUGAAGCAAUCAGUUUGGAGUUUGGAGGAAAAACAAGAGAGCGUGGUAUGCUGGAUGACAAUUGAAGGAAGGAUUUCCAGGGGGAAGAGAGCUAUCAGUGAGGGAAUUGCUGCUGAUAUGCCCUGUAAGAGGAGGACUAAGAAUUGAGGUUUAGUGGUGACCUAGUGAGAGCAGAUCUGGAGGACUGGUGGGGCUGAAACCCUGUGAGGUGGAGAAAGAGAGGAACUGAGACUGCUAGUAAGACAACUCUUUCAAGGAGUUUGCCCUAAAUGGGAACAGAGAAAUGAUGUGGUAGCUAGAGGAGGAAUGUGGGGUUACGACUCUCAUUUUUAUUUUUAAUAUGUGAGAAAAAAACAGCACUUUUAUUUUUCAGCAUAAACAGCAUGUCUAUUUACUAUCAGUAGGACUUGAGAUAAAGGUAAAAAUGGAUGGUGUAGGAGAGAAAAGGGGAAUGUAUCAGUCUGGGACCUGGCAAGAAGCACAUGGUACACACAAAUGGAGUAAUUUGAAGAGAAUUUUAAACAGGAUUAUUUAUUAUACAAAAUUAUGGUCAGGAUAUAAGGAAAACAUAGGGAUACUGCAAUACCUUGGAUGAGUUAUGGUUUGGCAUCAAUACCAUCUUUUGACAUGAAGAGGCAAGGGGAGGGGAAAGGGUACCAGAACCUAGAGAAUGAGACCUGUGUGCAGAGAGCUAUUUGUCCCAUUGAGCCAGCCCAUGGGGAGGGAGCUGGAACAAUAAAUGUCUUACCUUCACUUUCCUCUUUCCUACCAUCCCUGGUCCUUUCCUGGGACCACCAUCCUUCUCAUUAGCCAAAAUAAUCUGGAAGCCAGAGGACAGGGGAACCUGUUGAUUCAGGUCAGACUUCCUGGCAUAGAGCAGGGUAGGGGAAGGUGGAAAAUGGAUCUGGAGAGGCAAAUGGGAAAAAUUCUGCACAGGGAGAAUUGGUUGACUGACGACCUUGGGUGAGUGAGAGAAAAAGAACCUGGUGGACGGUGGAAGAAUUAGCCACAGAUAGGAACACCUCUAGUUCGUGCUCAGGACAGGAGAGAAGGCAGAGUGACAGGGCGCAAAUGCUGGUCAGGUAGGAUGAUGUGAUUCAGGUAGGAGGUUAGGGAUGCUUUUCUCUUCUGAUUCCUUCAAGUUUCUCAGGGAGGUAAGGAGCAAGGUCAUCAGAUUGAGCACGAGAUGUUUGUAUGUGUGGUAUUAAGGAAGCUGGGGUAUGCUUAUAAUUGUGCAUUGUUUGCUAGUUGGGGACUGCAACUAUACUUUUGCACUUCUGUCAUUUAUCUUUACUGCCCCGUGUCCUCAUAAACAUAUUCUCUUUUUUAGUCAGGUCUGUCUCCUCAUCACUCCAGUGCCCUCCAAGCUUACGUAUUCACAUUCUUUCAUCUGAAAUAAAGUACCCAUCCCUUUGUUUGUCAGUUUUCAACGUCUAAUGCCAAGCAUACUUCCUUCAUGAAACCCUCAUUAACUACUCCAUCCCGCACUAUCGUUUCUCUUCAAUUCACCCUACUUUAACUUGCAGUGAAUACCACACAAUUCUGGCUUUGUUUUCUAAUUGUUUCCUGUUAUUCUUGGUCUCUGAACUUGGUCGUAAGAUCAUCCAUAGCAAGAACAAUUUCUUUUUUGUCAUCCUCCCACAGUGAUGAGUGCAGACUUGUAAUAAGUGCUCAUUGAAUAGUUAUUACAUCCAGUAUCCAUUCAGAGCCUGCAGUGAAUCUGGGGUAACCAUGCUGGCAGUGAUUUUAAUAUAACUUUUUUUUUUUUUUUUUUAAGGAAGAUUAGUCCUGAGCUAAUAUCCGCUGCCAAUCCUCCUCUUUUUGCUGAGGAAGAUCGGCCCUGAGCUGACAUCUGUGUCCAUCUUCCUCUAUUUUAUAUGUGGGACACCUGCCUCAGCAUGGCUUGAUAAGUGUUGUGUAGAUCUGAACCUGGGAUCUGCCAAACCUGCGAAUCCUGGGCUGUUGAAUUGGAACAUGCGAACUUAACCUCUACGUCACCAGGCUGGCCCCUGAUAUUCCUUUUUUAGCUACAUAAUCCAAAGGAAAUUGUGAACAACACUUGGAAGGGGGAAAAAAAAAAUGUCUUUUCCAAUGGCUGUGAUAGCUGAAUUAUAAUUAUAGCUAAAUAUGAACCAGAUGCAUUUACUUGACACAUUACAGUUAUUGCAGGAAAAUAUUCUGAGUUUGUUAGCCUUUUGUAAACCAGAGAUUCUCAAUUCUGGUUGUAUUGGUUUUGUAUCUGGAUGUACCUGAAGCUAUUAGAAAUUGAUCAUCUGAGAGCCAAACAAACAGCAAGCUUGAGAGACAUUUGACUGAAUAUGGAUUCUUUCUGCUUCCCUCCUCCUUGCUAACUCUAAUGUAACUAGUCACCAAAUUCUGCUGGUUCUAGAUCUGAAAUGACUCUCAAUUGUCUGGGCAUCUCAAAUUUAACUUGCCCCAAACCAAAUCUUUAUAUUCUCCCUAACAUGCUACACUCUUUCCUCAUCCACCUAAACCUUGAAAUAAUUCUGGAUUCUAUUUUUCCCAUCUCCACACUGAAUCCAUCCAAUUCUGUCAGCUCUACCUUCAGAAGAUAUUGUAAUUCAGACCUCAUCACAUGUCCUGCUGUUUCCUACUCCAGGCCUCUAGAUAAAUAUGAAUCAUGGAUAUCAUCAACAUUAUAUGUAACAUUUAGAAUAUGUCUUGGAGUGAUCAUUUAAAACCAUGAAUUGUGUUUUUUCCUUUGCUCACAAACGUCCCCUGACUUUCCAUCACACCUAGAGUAAAAUCCACAGCCCUUACUGUGGCUUAGAAGACUCUAUAAAUCUGGGCCUACUUCUCCCUCUGACUUCAUGGCCCCCCACACUUUCCCCUUGUCAUUGCCUUCCAACCACACUGCCCAUCGUGCCAUUCCUUGAAAACCACAAGCAUGCUCUUGCUGCUUUCUCAUCUUGGAAUAAUCUUCUUCCCAUAUUUCUGCAUGGCUUACCUUCUCAGUUAACUCAGAUCUUUGCUCAAAUUAGUAACUCCUAAAUGAUUGCAUGUUACUGGGACUUGGAUGGGAAUAUAGCUGGGAGAGGAUAAUGUUAGAUUUUAUCAUCCCUCCAAGGCAAGCUAUUUAACCACUGUCCUUUCUAUAAAACCAAACACGACUGUUGAGGUUUGAUAAGGCACUUGCAACUUUCUACCUUUUUGGCCCAUCUGUUAACAGAAGGGAAUGUUCUGUUACCUAGAAAAAGAACCUAAAGAUAGGAGGCAUGUUCACUUCUGCAAAGCAAGCCACCCUUGUAGAAUAUCCCAAGAUUAAAGAAAUCCCAACAUUGCUGGGUAUCAGCCUCUCUGGGUGUGGAUUAUUAAGAAGAUAUAGGAUAAUCAGAAAGAAUCUUAUUAAGAUUUCUGAGUUUAUACAUAAACUCGGAUAAUAAAACUUCCCUGAUAAUAAAACUUCUUUGGAGCAUUCUAAUCUAUAGAGUUACCUCCUGUUUUAUUAAUGCCAGUUCGACCCACUCUUACUGGGUAAUAGAACUAUGAAUUUCUGUUCAGUAUGGGUGUGAAUACAUGCGUAUGUGUGUGUAAGCAUGUGUAUAUAACACUAAGCCUUUCUCCUUAGUGUCUCUCAUUUGUAGAAAUAAUAUUCCCCCUUUUAUUUGAUUCUUUUUUCCUCCUGGGACUUCCCCAGUGGCGUAAAUUCUGAACCAGAUUGGCUUUACACCAUCCCAAGUAAGACAUUGUUUUGGUUAACGUAGCUCUGAAAUCUUUGGCUGUUAGUACUUGAAGGGAGAAGUCUUCAUUAGUACCUAUUUCAGGGGGCCUCAUUCCCCCUCCCUAAUCCCCCUACUACUGUCCUAGGAGUUGUGGAGGAUUACAGUGAACUGUCUGAGUCCUCACUCUUCAGAAGGAAUGCUUUAGGGGUAGUGCUUUGAGGGUGGGUGGGUAGAAAGAUACUAGUUACCUCCCUCUCCUUUCAGUGAUCACUCAGAAAGGAAAAUGUGGGUUUCCACAGAGGAAGAUAAAUUUACCCUUCUGUGCUUGCAGUUGUGCGCAGUACUUGGAAUUUCCUGGCAUCUACUGCCACCACGUGGAUAUUUACAGUUACUGAAUUCAAACUUGAGUGUUUUCCUGUUAAGCCUGUUCCUAAGCCAAAACACAAAGAAUUGUUCUUUGGGUUGUGGCUGCAUCUCUCCAAUCUCUUCCUCCACGGUCACAUCAUCUUCUCUUCUUUGAUGAAUAAUCUCCCUCUGCCUCUCUCUUUUAAGGACACUUGUGAUUGCAGUUAGGGCACACCUGGAUGUUCCAGGAUAAUCUGUCUCAAGAUCCUCAACUUAAUGCCAUCUGCAAAGCUUUUUUUUGCCAUGUAAGGUAACCUUCCUAGGUUCCAGGGAUUUGGAUGUAGAUGUCUUUUGGGGGGCCAUUAUUCAGCCUGCUAUGAGUGUUGAUGGAGGGAAAAAUAUAGUGAGUUCAGUUUUUGAAUGGUGAGAUGUUCAGUUACCUUGGAAGCAGUUAGGAAAACAAGACUUGAAUUUACUAAUAUAUAAAAGGUGAGGAAUGUAAUUAUAUAUUAGUUGUUUAUUAAAAUCAAGGAGAUAGCUGAAGCUUUGAGAGUAGACAUGGUUAUGCAAGCACAAACCAAACUCAUCUUUAUAAAACAUGCAAUGCUGGGUAUUGGACGAAAAGCAAGCUCAGGUCAGAUGUCUGCAAAGCAAUGAGAACUGUGUGUCUACCAGCAGAUGUGUUUAUCAGGUAAUUAAGCUUGCUUGCUUUCUUUGUAUCUAUCUAUCUACCUACCUGUCAUCCAC